rnacentral:rRNA from 1 species
GGGUGAGUAACGCGUGAGGAACCUGCCUUUCAGAGGGGGACAACAGUUGGAAACGACUGCUAAUACCGCAUGACACAUAGAGAUCGCAUGGUUUUUAUGUCAAAGAUUUAUCGCUGAAAGAUGGCCCCGCGUCUGAUUAGCUAGUUGGUGAGGUAACGGCCCACCAAGGCGACGAUCGGUAGCCGGACUGAGAGGUUGACCGGCCACAUUGGGACUGAGAUACGGCCCAGACUCCUACGGGAGGCAGCAGUGGGGAAUAUUGGGCAAUGGGCGCAAGCCUGACCCAGCAACGCCGCGUGAAGGAAGAAGGCUUUCGGGUUGUAAACUUCUUUUGUCGGGGACGAGUAGAAGACGGUACCUGGCGAAUAAGCCACGGCUAACUACGUGCCAGCAGCCGCGGUAAUACGUAGGUGGCAAGCGUUGUCCGGAUUUACUGGGUGUAAAGGGCGUGUAGCCGGGAAGGCAAGUCAGAUGUGAAAUCCACGGGCUUAACUCGUGAACUGCAUUUGAAACUGUUUUUCUUGAGUAUCGGAGAGGCAAUCGGAAUUCCUAGUGUAGCGGUGAAAUGCGUAGAUAUUAGGAGGAACACCAGUGGCGAAGGCGGAUUGCUGGACGACAACUGAC